AGCACGAACAACGAUACACAUCAUAGGAUAUUGACGUCAGUGGAAACAAAAUGUUUGUACUAGUUGAUCGCAGGAAUAUUAAUGAAAAAGUUAAAAGACAUUCAGUGAUAGGGAUGAAGUGGAGGCCUUAUCGAUAAAGAGUCCCCAGUUCAGGAAAUGGCACAGUGCUGAGAGUAUUUUGAAAGUUAAGAAAGGUGAAAUGUAUAAAGUGAGAUUUCAUGAAGAUGGUUCCUAGUAAGUCCGGAAUAUGGCUCGUAUUUGAAGAAAAAAUGUGAUUGUUUGUAAAAGCAGUUUACAUGAAAUAUAGUUUGAGCUUUUACUCAAAAUGUUGUUCUUUCUUUAUAUUCAACGGAUGUUUUUUUUUUUGUAGUGCAAGUUAGCAUAACCUUAAAAA